UAUAAUAAUAAUAAUAAUAAUAAUAUAUCUUUUAUUGUCAUUGCACAGGUACAACGAGAUUUGGUAUGCAGCUUCCAUCCGAUGUCAUAACUUAAUUAACUAAAAAUUUAGACACCCAGAGAAGCAAGAU